rnacentral:tRNA from 1 species
GUCUGUGGCUCAGGGGUAGAACACUUGCCUGGCGUGCAUGAGGCACUGGGUUUGAUCCUUAGCACCACA